rnacentral:tRNA from 1 species
GGUUUGUGGCUCAGUGGUAGAGUGCUUGCCUAGCAUGUGUGAGGCCCUGAGUUCGAUCCUCAGCACCA